rnacentral:rRNA from 1 species
AUUGAACGCUGGCGGCAUGCCUUACACAUGUAAGUCGAACGGCAGCAUGAUCUAGCUUGCUAGAUUGAUGGCGAGUGGCGAACGGGUGAGUAAUACAUCGGAACGUGCCCUGUAGUGGGGGAUAACUAGUCGAAAGAUUAGCUAAUACCGCAUACGACCUGAGGGUGAAAGUGGGGGACCGCAAGGCCUCAUGCUAUAGGAGCGGCCGAUGUCUGAUUAGCUAGUUGGUGAGGUAAAGGCUCACCAAGGCGACGAUCAGUAGCUGGUCUGAGAGGACGAUCAGCCACACUGGGACUGAGACACGGCCCAGACUCCUACGGGAGGCAGCAGUGGGGAAUUUUGGACAAUGGGCGAAAGCCUGAUCCAGCAAUGCCGCGUGUGUGAAGAAGGCCUUCGGGUUGUAAAGCACUUUUGUCCGGAAAGAAAUGGCUCUGGUUAAUACCUGGGGUCGAUGACGGUACCGGAAGAAUAAGGACCGGCUAACUACGUG